rnacentral:piRNA from 1 species
UGACAGAGGCCCAGGUGGGACAGUUUCUU